CCGCGCCGUGAUGAGCCUUUUCGGCUGUUGAGUGUCUGACAAUGAGAUUUGCCACAUGCACUACCAGCUGAGCGUGG
rnacentral:snoRNA from 1 species